rnacentral:tRNA from 1 species
GCGGGGGUGCCCGAGCUAGGUCAAAGGGGGCGGACUUAGGCUCCGCUGGGGAAGCCCUGCCCGGGUUCGAAUCCCGGCCCCCGCA